UGCCAGCAGCCGCGGUAAUACGGAGGAUCCAAGCGUUAUCCGGGUUUAUUGGGCGUAAAGGGCGCGUAGGCGGUCUUGUCGGUCAGGUGUGAAAGCCCGGGGCUCAACCCCGGACGUGCAUUUGAAACAACAAGACUUGAGUACGGGAGAGGAGAGAGGAAUUCCUGGUGUAGAGGUGAAAUUCGUAGAUAUCAGGAGGAACACCGAUGGCGAAGGCAUCUCUCUGGACCGAUACUGACGCUGAGGCGCGAAGGCGUGGGUAGCGAACGGGAUUAGAUA
rnacentral:rRNA from 1 species